AUACGUAGGGUGCGAGCGUUGUCCGGAAUUACUGGGCGUAAAGAGCUCGUAGGUGGUUUGUCGCGUCGUCUGUGAAAUUCCGGGGCUUAACUCCGGGCGUGCAGGCGAUACGGGCAUAACUUGAGUACUGUAGGGGAGACUGGAAUUCCUGGUGUAGCGGUGAAAUGCGCAGAUAUCAGGAGGAACACCGGUGGCGAAGGCGGGUCUCUGGGCAGUAACUGACGCUGAGGAGCGAAAGCAUGGGUAGCGAACAGGAUUAGAUACCCUGGUAGUCCAUGCCGUAAACGGUGGGCGCUAGGUGUAGGGGUCUUCCACGACUUCUGUGCCGUAGCUAACGCAUUAAGCGCCCCACCUGGGGAGUACGGCCGCAAGGCUAAAACUCAAAUGAAUUGACGGGG
rnacentral:rRNA from 1 species